CCUACGGGCGGCAGCAGUGAGGAAUAUUGCACAAUGGGCGAAAGCCUGAUGCAGCAACGCCGCGUGAGCGAUGAAUGCCUUCGGGUCGUAAAGCUCUGUCCUUAAGGAAGAUAAUGACGGUACUUGAGGAGGAAGCCCCGGCUAACUACGUUCCAGCAGCCGCGGUAAUACGUCGGGGGCUAGCGUUAUCCGGAAUUACUGGGCGUAAGGGGUGCGUAGGUGGUUUCUUAAGUCAGAGGUGAAAGGCUACGGAUCAACCGUAGUAAGCCUUUGAAACUGGGGAACUUGAGUGCAGGAGAGGAGAGUGGAAUUCCUAGUGUAGCGGUGAAAUGCGUAGAUAUUAGGAGGAACACCAGUUGCGAAGGCGGCUCUCUGGACUGUAACUGACACUGAGGCACGAAAGCGUGGGGAGCAAACAGGAUUAGAUACCCCAGUAGUC
rnacentral:rRNA from 1 species